rnacentral:rRNA from 1 species
GAUGAACGCUGGCGGCGUGCUUAACACAUGCAAGUCGAACGAAGCAUCUGCGACAGAUUUUUUCGGAAUGAAGUUGCUUAUGACUGAGUGGCGGACGGGUGAGUAACGCGUGGGUAACCUGCCUUGUACUGGGGGAUAGCAGCUGGAAACGGCUGGUAAUACCGCAUAAGCGCACAAUGUUGCAUGACAUGGUGUGAAAAACUCCGGUGGUAUACGAUGGACCCGCGUCUGAUUAGCUAGUUGGUGAGAUAACAGCCCACCAAGGCGACGAUCAGUAGCCGAGCUGAGAGGGUGACCGGCCACAUUGGGACUGAGACACGGCCCAGACUCCUACGGGAGGCAGCAGAGGGGAAUAUUGCACAAUGGAGGAAACUCUGAUGCAGCGACGCCGCGUGAGUGAAGAAGUAAUUCGUUAUGUAAAGCUCUAUCAGCAGGGAAGAUAGUGACGGUACCUGACUAAGAAGCACCGGCUAAAUACGUG